GAUUAACGCUGGCGGCGUGCAUAACACAUGCAAGUCGAACGAUGAAACUUUACUGACUUCUUCGGAAUGAUUUAAAGCGGAUUAGUGGCGAACGGGUGAGUAACGCGUGAGUAACCUGCCUUACACAAGGGGAUAGCCUCUGGAAACGGAGAAUAAUACCCUAUGAAACCAGACAAUCGCAUGAUAAUCUGGUCAAAAUGUUUAGUGGUGUAAGAUGGACUUGCGUCUGAUUAGCUAGUUGGUGAGAUAAAAGCUCACCAAGGCAACGAUCAGUAGCCGGCUUGAGAGAGUGUACGGCCACAUUGGGACUGAGACACGGCCCAGACUCCUACGGGAGGCAGCAGUGGGGAAUUUUGCACAAUGGGGGAAACCCUGAUGCAGCGACGCCGCGUGAUUUAGAAGGCCUUCGGGUUGUAAAAAUCUUUUGUAUAGGAAGAAAAUGACAGUACUAUACGAAUAAGGUCCGGCUAAUUACGUG
rnacentral:rRNA from 1 species